rnacentral:rRNA from 1 species
CAGCCGCCGCGGGAAUACGAAGGGGGCUAGCGUUGUUCGGAAUUACUGGGCGUAAAGCGCACGUAGGCGGAUAUUUAAGUCAGGGGUGAAAUCCCAGAGCUCAACUCUGGAACUGCCUUUGAUACUGGGUAUCUUGAGUAUGGAAGAGGUGAGUGGAAUUCCGAGUGUAGAGGUGAAAUUCGUAGAUAUUCGGAGGAACACCAGUGGCGAAGGCGGCUCACUGGUCCAUUACUGACGCUGAGGCUCGAAAGCGUGGGGAGCAAACAGGAUUAGAUACCCCGGUAGUCCCUGUCUCUUAUAA